GACGAACGCUGGCGGCGUGCUUAACACAUGCAAGUCGAACGGAAAGGCCCUGCGUUCUUGGUGUGCCCGGGUGGCGAACGGGUGAGGAAGACGUCAGUAACGUGCUCUUGAUUUUGGGAGGGGUUCAGGAAAGUGGGGCUAAUCCCGGAUAGGAUCUCCUGCAGGAGGGAGGGGGGUGGAAAGUUUGGGCGGGCGGGGUUGGAUUCGCGGGUUAUCAGCUUGCUGGUGGGGUGGGUGAUGACCAAGGCUGUGGCGGGUAGGCGGCAUGAGAGGGUGGGCGGCCGCAUUGGGACUGAGAUGAGGCCCAGACUCCUACGGGAGGCAGCAGGGGGGAAUAUUGCACCAUGGGCGGAAGCCUGAUGAAGCAACGCCGCGUGCGGGAUAACGGCCUUCGGGUUGUAAACCGCUUUCGCCUGUGACGCAGCGUGAGUGACGGUAAUGGGUAAAGAAGCACCGGCUAACUACGUG
rnacentral:rRNA from 1 species